AGUGAGCACUGCCUGUAGGACU
rnacentral:piRNA from 1 species